AUUGAACGCUGGCGGCAGGCCUAACACAUGCAAGUCGAGCGGCAGCGGAAAGUAGCUUGCUACUUUGCCGGCGAGCGGCGGACGGGUGAGUAAUGUCUGGGAAACUGCCUGAUGGAGGGGGAUAACUACUGGAAACGGUAGCUAAUACCGCAUGACCUCGAAAGAGCAAAGUGGGGGAUCUUCGGACCUCACGCCAUCGGAUGUGCCCAGAUGGGAUUAGCUAGUAGGUGAGGUAAUGGCUCACCUAGGCGACGAUCCCUAGCUGGUCUGAGAGGAUGACCAGCCACACUGGAACUGAGACACGGUCCAGACUCCUACGGGAGGCAGCAGUGGGGAAUAUUGCACAAUGGGCGCAAGCCUGAUGCAGCCAUGCCGCGUGUGUGAAGAAGGCCUUAGGGUUGUAAAGCACUUUCAGCGAGGAGGAAGGCAUCAUACUUAAUACGUGUGGUGAUUGACGUUACUCGCAGAAGAAGCACCGGCUAACUCCGUGCCAGCAGCCGCGGUAAUACGGAGGGUGCAAGCGUUAAUCGGAAUUACUGGGCGUAAAGCGCACGCAGGCGGUUUGUUAAGUCAGAUGUGAAAUCCCCGCGCUUAACGUGGGAACUGCAUUUGAAACUGGCAAGCUAGAGUCUUGUAGAGGGGGGUAGAAUUCCAGGUGUAGCGGUGAAGUGCGUAGAGAUCUGGAGGAAUACCGGUGGCGAAGGCGGCCCCCUGGACAAAGACUGACGCUCAGGUGCGAAAGCGUGGGGAGCAAACAGG
rnacentral:rRNA from 1 species